GCAAGUCGAACGAACCCUUCGGGGUGAGUGGCGCACGGGUGCGUAACACGUGGGAAUAUGCCCUUAGGUAAGGAACAACGGCUGGAAACGGCCGCUAAUACCUUAUAAUAUCUUCGGAUCAAAGAUUUAUCGCCUAAGGAUUAGCCCGCGUCAGAUUAGAUAGUUGGUGAGGUAAUGGCUCACCAAGUCAACGAUCUGUAGGGGGUCUGAGAGGAUGAUC
rnacentral:rRNA from 1 species